UAAAGAAUUUCGGUCAUCGAUGGGGAUGCGUUCCAUUAGCUUGUUGGCGGGGUAACGGCCCACCAAGGCAUCGAUGGAUAGGGGUUCUGAGAGGAAGGUCCCCCACAUUGGAACUGAGACACGGUCCAAACUCCUACGGGAGGCAGCAGUGAGGAAUAUUGGUCAAUGGGCGCUAGCCUGAACCAGCCAAGUAGCGUGAAGGAUGACUGCCCUAUGGGUUGUAAACUUCUUUUAUAUGGGAAUAAAGUGCAGUAUGUAUACUGCUUUGCAUGUACCCUAUGAAUAAGGAUCGGCUAACUCCGUGCCAGCAGCCGCGGUAAUACGGAGGAUCCGAGCGUUAUCCGGAUUUAUUGGGUUUAAAGGGAGCGUAGGCGGGUUGUUAAGUCAGUUGUGAAAGUUUGCGGCUCAACCGUAAAAUUGCAGUUGAUACUGGCAUCCUUGAGUACAGUAGAGGUAGGCGGAAUUCGUGGUGUAGCGGUGAAAUGCUUAGAUAUCACGAAGAACUCCGAUUGCGAAGGCAGCCUGCUGGACUGUAACUGACGCUGAUGCUCGAAAGUGUGGGUAUCAAACAGGAUUAGAUACCCUGGUAGUCCACACAGUAAACGAUGAAUACUCGCUGUUUGCGAUAUACAGUAA
rnacentral:rRNA from 1 species